UAAAGCAUCAAUACGCAUUCAUACCAUACUAAAAAGAAUCUUCUUAUAGAAAUAGAACAAAAAAUCAAGAGCUUCGAGCCAAUAAAGACUAAGAAGAUUGACUCAAGAACCAAUUUGAUUCUGAGCUCCAUUGUAGAAUUCGGACCUAACCAUUAAGUAAGAAGUGAUGGGAACGACGGAACUUGUGAAUGCAAAAGAUUCUAUUGAAAAAGGAAUCUUAAUGAUUCACUGGUCGGGAUGGCGGAACGAACCAUAGAUUAAUUCAUGUAUUCUGAGAUCUGAGAAGUCACGAGUUAACCCUACAAAUGAAAUAGGGAUUGAAAGAGUAAAUAUUCGCCCGCGAAAACUUUUUUAUUGCAAAAUUUAGGACAAUACAAUAAAGGACAAAAUAAGGAUUUGGUAUAAUAAUACAAUUUUUUUUAUUUCUCUUUAGAAAACUACAAAGUUUAGUUAUCUAUUCAAACAAGAUAUACAAAUUACUAAUAGAUUUAAUGAAAUCUCAAAGAAGCCCACGUUCAAGGUAUUACUCAGUAAAUACAUAUCUUAUAUAUCUUAACUUAAGAUUUACUAUUCUAGCUUAAUUCAAAUUGAAUUUUUUUGAAUCCUUUUAUUUGCGAGGAGCUGGAUGAGAAGAAACUCUCACGUCCGGUUCUGUAGUAGAGAUGGAAUUCAGAACCAACCAUCAACUAUAACCCCAAAAGAACCAGAUUCCGUAAACAACAUAGAGGCAGAAUGAAGGGAAUAUCUUAUCGAGGUAAUCGUAUUUCUUUCGGUAAAUAUGCUCUUCAGGCACUUGAACCUGCUUGGAUUACAUCUCGACAAAUAGAAGCAGGCCGACGGGCAAUGACACGAAAUGCACGUCGUGGUGGAAAAAUAUGGGUACGUAUAUUUCCAGACAAACCUGUUACAUUAAGACCGGCAGAAACCCGUAUGGGUUCAGGAAAAGGAUCCCCUGAAUAUUGGGUAGCUGUUGUUAAACCGGGGCGAAUACUUUAUGAAAUGGGUGGAGUAACAGAAAAUAUAGCCAGAAGGGCUAUUUCACUAGCAGCAUCCAAAAUGCCUAUACGAACUCAAUUCAUUAUUUCGUAAUGUAAUAGAAAAAAAUGUAGAAAGGGCUCUUAGAUAUGAAAGAAAACCGCAUGUUUCUUUUUUUUGGACAAAAAUAUUUCUUUUUUUUUCUUCGCCCUUUGCAUUCAAAGAACGGAUUAAAAAAAUGAUUCAACCUCAGACCCAUUUAAAUGUAGCGGAUAAUAGCGGGGCUCGAGAAUUGAUGUGUAUUCGAAUCAUAGGAGCUAGCAAUCGUCGAUAUGCUCAUAUUGGUGACGUUAUUGUUGCUGUGAUCAAAGAAGCAGUACCAAAUAUGCCCCUAGAAAGAUCAGAAGUAGUCAGAGCUGUAAUUGUGCGUACCUGUAAAGAACUCAAACGUGACAACGGGAUGAUAAUACGAUACGAUGACAAUGCUGCAGUUGUUAUUGAUCAAGAAGGAAAUCCAAAAGGAACUCGAAUUUUUGGUGCAAUCGCCCGGGAAUUGAGAGAAUUAAAUUUUACUAAAAUAGUUUCAUUAGCUCCCGAGGUAUUAUAAAAUGAAAUUGUGAUCUGUUUCGAGUGGGGUAUUUGAAAGAAAUAGAUUAAUUAGUAGAUUGUGUCUCACGCAUAUAUCUUUAAUAAUUCAUAUCAUAUUCAAAAAUAAAUAAGUAAAAAACACGUUGAUUAUAUCAAAUUUGGAGACCCCAAUAAUUUUAGUUCAUCAUGGGCAGGGACACUAUUGCUGAGAUAAUAACUUCUAUACGAAAUGCUGAUAUGGAUCGAAAAAGGGUGGUUCGAAUAGCAUCUACUAAUAUUACCGAAAAUAUUGUUCAAAUACUUUUACGAGAGGGUUUUAUCGAAAACGUGAGAAAACAUCGAGAAAACAACAAAUACUUUUUGGUUUUAACCCUGCGACAUAGAAGGAAUAGGAAAAGACCCUAUAGAAAUAUUUUAAAUUUAAAACGAAUCAGUCGACCUGGUCUACGAAUCUAUUCUAAUUAUCAACGAAUUCCGCGAAUUUUAGGUGGAAUGGGGAUUGUAAUUCUUUCUACUUCUCGAGGUAUAAUGACAGACCGAGAGGCUCGACUAGAAGGAAUAGGUGGAGAAAUUUUGUGUUAUAUCUGGUAAUCCUUUAUAAUAUGCAAAUUGAAUUCGAAACUUCCUAUUUGCGAAAAAGGGGGGGAGAGUUAUCUAAUAUCUUUCGCAUUAGUUGAUACCUCAAAGGAACUUUGUUUUAUACAGAUACUGCCAGGAGAUAGAGUCAAAAUUGAAGUAAGUCCUUAUGAUUCAACCAAAGGACAUAUAAUUUAUCGACUCCACAACAAAGAUUUGAAGGAUUAGGUUUUCAACUUCACCAUUCCUUUCGUGGGAAUACAAUUCGAGAUGAAAAAUUUCAAGAAACUUAUUUUCUUCCAAGAAAUAGAUUCAGAAUUAAGGUAAGGAAUGAUAAAUAUGAAAAUAAGAGCUUCCGUUCGUAAAAUUUGUGAAAAAUGUCGACUAAUCCGUAGGAGGGGGCGCAUUAUAGUAAUUUGUUCCAACCCGAGACAUAAACAAAGACAGGGCUAAUCAGACUUGCCAGAAGAGCCGAUGUACAAAUAAAGAAUCUGUUUUGACAUGAAAUGGAUAUAUCCAUAUAUCUCUGACUCAUAUUUACGAGAUGAUAAAAUAUGGCAAAAGCUAUACCGAAAAUUAGUUCGCGUCGGAAUGGACGUAUUAGUUCACGUAAGGGUGCACGUAGAAUACCAAAGGGAGUUAUUCAUGUUCAAGCAAGUUUCAAUAAUACCAUUGUCACUGUUACAGAUGUACGGGGUCGAGUAGUUUCUUGGUCCUCAGCUGGUACUUCUGGAUUCAAAGGUACGAGAAGAGGAACACCGUUUGCUGCUCAAACCGCAGCAGCAAACGCUAUCCGUACAGUAGUGGAUCAAGGUAUGCAACGAGCAGAAGUCAUGAUAAAAGGUCCCGGUCUCGGAAGAGAUGCAGCAUUACGAGCUAUUCGUCGCAGUGGUAUACUAUUAACUUUCGUACGGGAUGUAACUCCGAUGCCACAUAAUGGCUGUAGACCUCCGAAAAAAAGACGUGUGUAGAACUGAACAUUGAAGAAAUCUCAAGAGAAAUAAAAGAUUCGAUGAUCUAAUCAAAUAAUAGUACUAUGGUUCGAGAGAAAGUAACAGUAUCUACUCGGACACUACAGUGGAAGUGUGUUGAAUCAAGAACAGACAGUAAACGCCUUUAUUAUGGACGCUUUAUUCUGUCUCCACUUAUGAAAGGCCAAGCCGACACAAUAGGCAUUGCGAUGCGAAGAGCUUUACUUGGGGAAAUAGAAGGAACAUGUAUCACACGUGUAAAAUCUGAGAAAGUACCACAUGAAUAUUCUACCAUAACGGGCAUUCAAGAAUCGGUACAUGAAAUUUUAAUGAAUUUGAAAGAGAUUGUAUUGAGAAGUAAUUUAUAUGGAACUUCUGAGGCGUCUAUUUGUGUCAAGGGUCCUGGAUAUGUAACUGCUCAAGAUAUCAUCUUGCCACCUUAUGUGGAAAUCGUUGAUAAUACACAACAUAUAGCUAGUUUAACGGAACCAAUUGAUUUUUGUAUUGGAUUACAAAUAGAGAGAAAUCGUGGAUAUCUUAUAAAAACGCCACAUAACUUUCAAGAUGGAAGUUAUCCUAUAGAUGCUGUAUUCAUGCCUGUUCGAAACGCGAAUCAUAGUAUUCAUUCUUAUGGGAAUGGGAAUGAAAAACAAGAGAUACUUUUUAUCGAAAUAUGGACAAACGGAAGUUUAACUCCGAAAGAAGCACUUCAUGACGCAUCCCGAAAUUUAAUUGAUUUAUUUAUUCCCUUUUUACAUAUGGAGGAAGACAACUUAUAUUUACAGGACAAUCAACACACGGUUCCUUUAUCCCCUUUUACCUUUCAUGAUAAAUUGGCUAAACUCAUAAAAAACAAAAAAAAAAUAGCAUUGAAAUCGAUUUUUAUUGACCAAUCAGAAUUGUCUUCCAGGAUCUAUAAUUGCCUCAAAAUGUCCAAUAUAUAUACAUUAUUGGACCUUUUGAAUAACAGCCAAGAAGAUCUUAUGAAAAUUGAACAUUUUCGUAGCGAAGAUAUAAAACAGAUAUUGGACAUUUUAGAAAAAUAUUUCGUAAUUGAUUUAGCAAAAAAUAAGUUUUAAAUCUAUUGGACUUACUUAGUGAAAAUAGAUUGAAAAAGCACAAUUUAGCACAAUUAAUAUAUCAUAUAUUAGAUAUUAGAAAGAAAUUAAUAAUGAAAUUGAAUAGAUGUAUCUAGGGAGAAUUCGCUUUGAAGAAACUAUUCCCUAGAUACACAUGUCGUGUUAGUUCACAAUUGAAUCAAUUAAAAAAUUUAAAAAAGACCUAAAGUUAGGGAUUUAUCAAUAGGUAAUGUUGCACCAAUGCCCAACCAAAGGGCGACUGCGGUACCAAUCAAAAAGACAGUCGUCGCUACUGGACGGCGAAAUGGAUUUUGGAAUUUAUUAACAUUCUCUAAAAAAGGUACUGUUAAUAAUCCCGCAGGUACUGAAACCAUUAAAAGAACCCCCAAUAAUUUAUUGGGCACUGUACGAAGUAUUUGAAAUACAGGAAAGAAAUACCAUUCAGGUAAGAUUUCCAAAGGGGUUGCAAAUGGAUCCGCUGGUUCACCAAUCAUUGAUGGUUCUAAAACGGCUAAGCCUACAUUACAUGCAAUAGUACCUAGAAUUACUACUGGAAAAAUAUAUAAAAGAUCAUUGGGCCAUGCGGGCUCGCCAUAAUAAUUAUGACCCAUACCCUUAGCCAAUUUAGCUCUUAAUACAGGAUCAUUCAAGUCAGGUUUUUUUGUUAUUGGGAUAGGUGAAUUCUUAUAGAUCCAUCCCCCGAGGGAACUGGACAUGAUAAUUUUUAAUCAUCCAGCUCGAGCAAGAAUAAAAAGAACCAAACGAAUCCAUAUAUCCAUAGAAAAUAUCUAUAUGGUACCUGUAUUUACAC
rnacentral:lncRNA from 1 species